CACGUAGGGACCAAGCGUUGUCCGGAUUCAUUGGGCGUAAAGAGCUCGUAGGCGGUUCGAUAAGUCGGGUGUGAAACCUCCAGGCUCAACCUGGAGACGCCACCCGAUACUGUCGUGACUAGAGUCCAGUAGGGGAGCGUGGAAUUCCUGGUGUAGCGGUGAAAUGCGCAGAUAUCAGGAGGAACACCAGCGGCGAAGGCGGCGCUCGUGGCUGGAACUGACGCUGAGGAGCGAAAGCGUGGGGAGCGAACAGG
rnacentral:rRNA from 1 species